rnacentral:rRNA from 1 species
AACGUAGGAGACGAGCGUUAUCCGGAUUUACUGGGCGUAAAGCGUGUGCAGGCGGUUCGGCAAGUUGGAUGUGAAAUCUCCCGGCUCAACUGGGAGGGGUCGUUCAAUACUACCGGACUUGAGGGCAUCAGAGGAAGGUGGAAUUCCCGGUGUAGUGGUGAAAUGCGUAGAUAUCGGGAGGAACACCAGUGGCGAAGGCGGCCUUCUGGGAUGCAUCUGACGCUCAGACACGAAAGCUAGGGGAGCGAACGGG